AUACGUAGGUGACAAGCGUUAUCCGGAUUUACUGGGCGUAAAGGGCGUGUAGGCGGUCUUGCAAGUCAGAAGUGAAAUUCCUGAGCUCAACUCGGGCGCUGCUUCUGAAACUGCAGGACUUGAGUGCUGGAGGGGAUAGCGGAAUUCCUAGUGGAGCGGUAAAAUGCGCAGAUAUUAGGAAGAACACCGGUGGCGAAGGCGGCUUUCUGGACAGAAACUGAAGCUGAGGCGCGAAAGCGUGGUGAGCAAACAGGAUGAGAUACCCGGGUAGUCCACGCCGUAAACGAUGAAUACUAGGUGUAGGGGGUAUCGACUCCCUCUGUGCCGCAGUUAACACAAUAAGUAUUCCGCCUGGGGAGUACGGCCGCAAGGUUGAAACUCAAAUGAAUUGGCGGGG
rnacentral:rRNA from 1 species